CAUACACUCCUUCUGUCCCAAAAUGAGUGUCGUAAAUAUGUUUAGAUAUGGAUGUAUAUAGAAAAACUAAGUCUAGAUACAUCCAUAUCUAGACAAAUCUGAGACACUUAUAUUGGGAUGGAGGAAGUAUAAC
rfam:Triticum aestivum genome assembly, contig: Triticum_aestivum_CS42_TGACv1_scaffold_130557_2BL